rnacentral:rRNA from 1 species
CCUACGGGAGGCAGCAGUGGGGGAUAUUGCACAAUGGGGGGAACCCUGAUGCAGCGACGCCGCGUGGGUGAAGAAGGGCCUCGGCGCGGAAAGCCCUGUCAGCAGGGAAGAAAAUGACGGUACCUGAAGAAGAAGCCCCGGCUAACUACGUGCCAGCAGCCGCGGUAAUACGUAGGGGGCAAGCGUUAUCCGGAUUUACUGGGUGUAAAGGGGGCGCAGACGGGGUUGCAAGCCAGGAGUGAAAGCCCGGGGCGCAACCCCGGGACUGCUGUUGGAACUGCGUGGCUGGAGUGCAGGAGGGGCAGGCGGAAUUCCUGGUGUAGCGGUGAAAUGCGUAGAUAUCAGGAGGAACACCGGUGGCGAAGGCAAGAGACCGGCGCCCGACUGACGCUGAGGCACGAAAGCGUGGGGAUCGAACAGGAUUAGAUACCCUAGUAGUC